AAUAGGAUGAAAUGGUUGGUUUUCGAAACUUAAGGACCCAAAACGACAUUUACUGUUCUUUUACGUUUCUUCCACAUCGAGCUCAGUGAGAAGUUUGCAGCAGAAUAAGAACAGUAGCGAAGCAAUGGAGUUCGUCCCUUCGGGGACAUCCGAUAAAAUUGGAACGAUACAGAGAAGAUUAGCAUGGCCCCUGCGCAAGGAUGACACGCACAAAUCGAGAAAUGGUCCAAAUUUUUUUGCCGGUCGUCGGCGCUGAUGCUCCGUUGGUCAAUCAUUUUAGUUUAGAUGGUGAAUCGUGCACCGGUCAGAACAAAUAAUUCAGCCUUCAUUGCUAUGAUUGCUGAUGAGGGAAAUUGGAAUUUCAAAUUCAUGUUCUCAUUGCGUACUUGCAAACUGGUUAAUGUAGGAUACAAUCACUGGAUUUUUUACUAGCAGGAGUUGGCAAUGUUGAUUCGAGGAGGGAAAUUAACUAUCUUAUUGUCUAUUCAAAAAUAGCGGUGAAGCAGAUUGAAGAUGCUUUUAAAGAAUUCAUCACAAGGGAGAACAUUGGGCAAUAGUGUUAAUCAGCCAAUAUAGAGAAGACUCGUUGGACAGUGAAAAAGGAUGCUGGUGUUGACUUCUCUAUCGAUGAAGUGAUAGCAGUAAUGAAGGAUGGAACGAUUAGAAUUGGGCUGAAUACUGGAGGAGGUGUAGCUACAUUUGCUGUAAGAAUGAGAAAAAGGAGCAUAACGAUUAUAUCGACUUCAAUGAAACUUUGAACAUUAGCAUCUCACAAAGACUUAUCGACAACAUGUUGGAUACCAAUGACACUUUUACACUGUUGUUUUUUGAUAUUUUACAGGGUGUUAAGGCCUGGUGUGCUGUUUUGGCUACUUCUUCUGUGUUGGUUGAGCAAUUGGAGAAAGUGUAUGCACCACUUAUCGAUGGGAUUAUGUAUCUUUCAGCAUUGUUGGAAAGCCAUUGAAGUAUUCUUGGAUUGGAAUUAGAAGUAGGCGAUCCCCCUAUGAUCGUUCUUCCAGAAGACGACAACACGAUCAUCCCUUCGUUUUGGGAUUACAAGCCACAAUUUCUCCACACAGUAACUCUCACAAUGGCGGAAUUACAAUUAUUAACGUCAGUAGUCGCGAUUUAGUGGAAAGGGCCUUAAUGCAGCAACAUGUACAAGACUAUUUCAAUGGCGGAUUAUCACCAAAUUCUUCAGAUGAUUCUCAACCAGCAAGUGAACUGUUUGAUGAUCAACGGGCUUACACAGAGGAGAAAGAGGAUGAUGCUAUAUUAUUGGGGUAUUUUAAAACAAGAAUUCAUUGUGUUGCUGAUGGUGUAAAUAAUCCCACAGAAACUAAAGAGAUUUGUGCCAUAUGUCAAGCAGAAUUUGAGCAUGAAGAGUCCAUUGGGACACUUGGGUGUGGUCACGAAUAUCAUACGGGCUGCAUCAAACAAUGGCUGUUGAGGAAAAAAGAUUGUCCCAUGUGUCGAGCUUCUGUUUUGCCCUGAAUACAUAGCAUAUAGAGAUUGUUUAUUAUGAAAUUCUCUUGUAUUAAUCUCAAGUUGUGGAUGUAACGCACUAUACAUUUUUUAUACAUACAAGAACAAUUUGUUUGAUAUCCUAAAUAUUGUUAAGAAA